GCCCAGGUGGUGGAAUGGCAGACACAGGGGACUUAAAAUCCCCCGAAGGUAACUUCAUGCGGGUUCGAGUCCCGCCUUGGGCA
rnacentral:tRNA from 1 species